GUGCUCUCUUUGGCAGCACAUAUACUAAAAUUGGAAUGAUACAGAGAUUAGCAUGGCCCCUGAACAAGGAUGACACACAUAUUCAUGAAGUGCUCCAUAAUUUU
rnacentral:snRNA from 1 species